GCAACAACCACCAGUACCAGUGCGAUCAGCAUUGAACGCGCAGGAACCAGCCAAAAAUGUCCAAGAAACGCAUAUGCAUGGGGCUCGAGACCAAAACGUUCGGAUGGCAUGCACUAACACACACGCACACGCACGGUAGCCGGUGCAGGGAAAAAGUCCGAGGUAUCACACGCAAGCGCGGAGAUUGUCGCUGCCCGCAGCUGUUCUUUCCUCGGGGGUCUCCGGCUCUUGGCUAUAGUGUGUCGUCACGGCCUUGAACUCGCAUUCAGAGUACAAGCUUUGUUCGCGGGCUCAGAUAGAGAGAUAAGGACAUUUUUUCUCUCUCUUUUUAGUGCAGAGAUAAGGACCUUGCUUGCAUGCACGUAGGCGUCGCGGCGUACAAACGACACAUGGAUGGAUAUAUCUAUACGUGCAGCAAUACUGGCGCCGAAAGGAGAAAAUGGGAAGCUUCCUCCCAAAAUAGCUCCGGCGCCCGUGGCAAUUCCCACGUGUAACUGACGUGUCACGGCGCUCGGUGUCUAUCUAGCCUGGAGAUAACAAAGGUGCAUGCACCUCCCGUCACAUGUAGCACACAUGUGAACGUGUAAGGUUGGUUGCAGUGGCACACAACAUUAGAGCAACAUCUUCAAGAAAAGAUUGUGUGCAAAAAAUAUGUUCCACCGAUAUCCCUAACUCAUCAGUGUUUAAAUACUGGUGCUCGCAUUUAUUUUUGAAUUUAUUUUAUAAUUUUCGGCGAUGCGCAUUCAAUAGAAAGAGAUGUUACCAUAGUUGACGAGGUGCGAGUGAUGACUUCAUAAAUUUGAAGAUAAUAUGACGACUCAGUUUUUUUAAGGUACUCAUCGGGAUAGGGUGUGCGUGUGUGUGUUUAUAAGAAUGAAUAUUUGUACGUGUAUACGAACUCUUGCAUAUGUACCGUGUUAAAAAAUAUCUUCCAUCGGAACCCCCUAAAAGAUAUCUUCUAGAAAAGAUCCGCAAAUAAAGACUUCAUAGCAGAAAACAGGAUGGCCGAUUUGUAUGUGCUGAAACCUAAGCUUAUCUUUAAACUUUGAAAAAUAUACGCACGAACUGUGAGAUCACAUGUUGUCUGCAUGGCUAGUGUCAAAUAAUUUAGUGUAUAUGUUAUGAGCAAUCAGUGUAGGUGCAUCCAUGAUUGGUUGUGUUCCCAUGAUCAAUGUUCAGAUCGACAGCAUGAUGUGGAAUUUGAGAUGCAGUCGUGUGAUGAAUUCAUUUUUGAAUUUGCUAUGUAUGGAUACUCAUGAAUCAUAGGAGAAUUGGCACAGCACACACCCAUCCAACUCCCUUUUCUAAGACGCGAGUUUCGCCAAAUUAAAAUAUGAGAAAUCUGUCAAAAAAGGAUUCAAAACUGUUCUUGCAUUGGAUUGACAUUACUCGAGACCCAUGGGAGAAUGGAGGUAUUGGGUCGGCUAGGGUGGAUAAAGCUCUCGAAAUAGAUGGUUAUGUUCUUCUAAAUUGAUAGUGCCAGUAUGUCGAGUUCUCUAUAAAAGAUAAAGGAAAGGGGAAGGAAGGGAAGAGGGAGGGGUGAGGGCUAACCUGCAGCAAUGUGCUUGCCUAAGACUUCCAUUGGGCUUAGAGGAGCGCCUAAUCAAAGAGUGGUGGUGUUCAAGCUUACACCAACUCUGGCAAUGGUACCAGCAC
rnacentral:lncRNA from 1 species